AUUGCCUGGCUGCUAGAGGAAACCCGAAGUCGGGAUUCUUUCUUUCCUGCUCUGAGAGGGACCAGGUCCCUCCUCCGUAGCUUUUGUCUCUCUAUUGCCUGCGCCGUGUCCUGGACUGCUCACGGGAGUUCUGCAGGAGACGCCGGAAUAUCUGGAAGCUGAAAAAUGCUUGUGCCCUCUGUCUCUUGCCUUGGCACCUGGGUGGCUUGCUGCCCACAACCCCGUGUCUAAAAAUACAAAAAUUAGCUGCGCAUGGUGGUGGGUACCAGUAAUCCCAGCUACUCCGGAGGCUGAGGCAGGAGGAUCGCUUGAACCCGGGAGAUGAAGGUUACAGUGUUAUGAAAGACCUUGGCGGAGGGAAACAACCCCAGGAAGCCUCGAGAAAUAAAUGGAAAGACCAGAAUAUUGAAGAUCACUACAGAAAUCUAAGGGUCAGGCAUGGUGGCUCACACCUGUAAUCCCAGCACUUUGGGAAGCAGAGGCAGUUGGAUCACUUGAACCUGGGAGGCGUUCUGGAGGUCAGGAGUUCGAGACCAGCUUGGCCAACAUGGUGAAACCCUGUGUCUGCUAAAAAUACAAAAAUUAGCCGGGCCUCAUGGCACAUGCCUGUAAUCCCAGCUACUCUGGAGGCUGA
rnacentral:lncRNA from 10 species